CGCCAAACCGCUGCGCCACCCAGGGAUCCCUUCUUUUCCUUUUUUAAGAGAGUGAGAGAAGCAAACAGGAGCACUUCAAUUAUUUGUCCAACAGCCAUGGAACACCAUCUAAAGAAAUGUCUACUACCAGUCUACUGGGCUGGAGGAUUUGGAGCUACAACUUGACAUGCCCACAAGGAGGGAUGGGGCCACUUGCCAUGUUUUGGGAAUCACCUUCAUGACAGCUCAGUGCUUUAAACCAAAGUAGGAAGGGAUGGUUGAAAUUCACAACAAAGUCCACAGUAUGGGUAUUUUCAAAUGUCAUGGUAUUGCUCUUGCAGAUCUGGGACAGAUGUUAAUGAAGCUCUGGUGAACAGAGGUCCCUUGUGUACCUGUCCCAAUGGACAGUUAAAACCCCAUCCCAAACCAAUCAGCCCACAUCCCUGCCUGAGCGACUUUUGCCUCCAACAUCCCAGUUACUUGACCUCUUAGUUUCCCUACCAAGCCCUCUGCUCAUCAACAAACAUGAAGAGAAGCUGUAAACCAGGAGUUUGUGAACCGUGACAUCCCAAAUUCACAAUCUGUAUUGUUAACACCUGAGGGUUGGGGUACCUGGCACCCCUCCCCCAUCUUCUGGCUGGAGCACCCCCAAUUUCCAAUAGCCUACCCAGCAAUAGGACUUGCCUGUGUCCCUGGCCUGAACUGUCUUGUAUUUGUUUUUAGUCACCCCUGUAGAGGACUCUCAGGAUCUCAAAUGCCCAGGCUGUCAUCAACUGGGUUCGUCCUGGGUGACUAAUCCAGGGAGACAUUCAUGUCAGUGAAGAACCCAUCUGCCUGAAGGUUAAAACAGAACAGGCACAAUCUGUAGGCAUCCUGGCCCUUGUUCACCAUAAAGUAUCUGGUUGGCAAAGAGAUCACCUACUCCCCAGCCUAGAAGGAACCAGACUUGCUGCAGGAACCCAAUUACUACCUGGCUUAAUGAGCUCACCGGUCCAGUUGCUCUGGCCCAGGGAGCAAUCCUGCCAACUUCCCGAAAGAAGCCACGUCUUCCAAAGCUGCGUUCGGAGGUGCAAUGGGGGAAAGGGAAAAAGUAGGACAAUUUAACAAGAACUACAACCUGGACGCCUGGGUGGCUCAGUGGAUGAGCAUCUGCCUUCAGCUCAGGACAUGAUCCCAGGGUCCUGGGAUCAAGUCCCACAUCGGGAUCCCCCUGCAGGGAGCCUGCUUCUCCCUCUGCCUGUGUCUCUGUCUCUCUCUGUGUCUCUCAUGAAUAAAUAAAUAAACUUUAGAAAAAAAAGAACUACAACCUUCAGUCAACAUGAGAUGUUUUGGAUUCUGAAGAACAGCUUUUUAGCAUAUCUGUAGUCCUGAACUGAAAGCAGACUGCAAUGCAAGACGGUGAAAUCCAUGUGCGGGGGAUCCUUUAUGAAGAAGCUACAGAAGCUCCACAAUGGUCCCUUUGGGCUAACACGGCCACCAGGGUGCCUCUGCCCCAAGUACUGGGUUAUCUAAGGUUUGCAGGGUAGUCAUGAGGUGGCUGUUACAGAGAAUGGAGUGACACUAGUUAAGGACAGGGCGGAUCUGACAUAACAACGGACCACCUCCCCUACUGGGGCCCCUCUUAGCACUGACAUUAUCAUGAUCUGUGAGACCAAAGGCCAAAAAUCUAUUGACCCACCCUGUGCCAGGCUCUGGGAAUCCUGUUGCAAAUCAGAUGGCAUCUCAAGCUUCCUAAAACCUUCUGGAACCUUCUGCCUAGUGGGAGAGUCAGACAAGUCACAGACAGCUGCAAUACCAUGUCCAGGACAGUAAGCGGGGGAUUCUUAGGGCAGCAGGAGCCCUGGGGACAUGCCUGACCUGGCCUGAGGAAGGGGAACGAGAAGGGGGACAACAGGGAAGGUUUUCUGGAGGAAAUAAAGCUAGUGAUGGAUUCUAAGCACAAGUGGAGGGUGUUCACUGGCUGGAUGAGGACAGGAAAAGCGAACAGGCAAAUCUAUCAGAGGGAACAGCAUGUGCAAAAAGCCUGGCUCAGUCAGAAACAGUGGACAGAUGGUGUAGCUGGACACAUGCCCUACUGAAGGCGUGGGAUGAGAGAGGCAGGAGCAGGCCACGCCAUGCUAGCAAAAUUGAGAUGAGCAGAAGCAGCUCCUUUGGUGCAUUCUUCUGCUUCCUGGCUAUUCCUGUCUUUAUCCAAUCCCAGUGACUUCAUUCACUCAAUCCGAACUUGUAGGGUAAUAAGCAAACAGGUCUCUCCUGGGGGCCCAGUGAGAAUGGAGGAAGUGACAUCCAAGCUGGGCCAUGGAGCAAGCAGGAUGUCACAGGCAGAGGGAGAUGGCAUACAAGGAUCUGGAAGAAAGAGCAGUGCUGAGCAGGGAGGUACAGCUCACUGGAGUAAAUGAUGGCAACCGAGCUGGGAGCACACCAUGGGACCUUUGAAUGCCCAGCUAAGGUCUGCACACUUUUCAUAUGCAAUUAGCAACCGUACAAGUAGCCAGAGCAGCCCCACCACUGCCAUUUCUACUUGUGCAACCUCAGGUAACUCACUCACUCCGCAACACUGCGGUGGUGCAGGCUGAGAAGAGCAGGAAAGGAAGAUGCUCCCACCCUCCAUAACCCACCUGAGGCUCAUUUCUGCUUCUUCGUGAGCAUGCCCCACUCUCCACCUCCCACCCCAGCAGGCAGUACCAUGCCAGGCACUUGAAGGCCGGCGUGCACGUAGAAAACAGGGACAAUGCCAGGUGACCCCUGCAAAACCGAAACAAAGCCCUUCCCGGGCAUCUCUCCACGUGGAGGGAGCACAAGCAGCUUGUGAUGGGGACAUGGUGGGUACCUCCCAGGACGCCAGAGCUCCCAGGGGUGAAGCGACUUGUCUCCCUAGUGGUUCCAGGCUGGAUCGGGGAUGAAAUUCAGAUUCCCUCCCAGGCCUGAUAGGAAGCAGUGGAGAUGGGUGCAGAGUAGACAAGAUGCACACAAUACCAGGGAGGCCGUGCCACGCCCCGAGAAGCUGCCUUUGAAAAAUCAAACCUGGCCAUCAGCUGCCCUCGUCCAAUCAGAGCUGGCCAUAGAGAAGCUUCUAGGAUAGACUCCUGCAUUCGGUAGCCACAGGAAAUGCACUGCACAUGAGGUUGCAAAUUCUUCAGGGGACAGCAGCAAAAUCCUGAUGUGGUUAUUACAUGCGCUGGGAUUAAAAAGGCUAGAGCCAUCAUGUGGAGGUUUGCUGGGUAGAGUGACCCAGUGCUCUUGAGCCAUUCCCGAGUAGUCAUCUCUGCUGCCAGUUACAGAGAACCUGCUAUGCACCGGGCUGGAUGGAGAGCCAUCCCUGCUGGCUCCCACCUCGAGACCAGCUCUCGUGGCAGGUAUGAUGUCCACGGCGCCUCCUUCCUUAGAUUCUUCAGGGAAGCAUCACAGUCUUAGUGACAGCGUUUGUGAUUUAUUUAAAUUGUGUGGGUCCCUCUUUCCCCAGAAUGAAAGCUGAUGUGGGCUGAGACCUUGCCACACCUCCUCUUCAUGGGGCCCUCGUUCCUUCCAGGGACACACAGGAAGCCCUCAAAUAUGCACUGUCAUUGCUUGUCAUCAGACUGAGCUUCUUGUUUACAGAAGAGGAAACUGAAGCACUACGGAACUUAAUUAACCUGCCUAGGGCCAUGCACUUCAUAGAAGGCAGAGCUGCAGCCCCCCAGAACCUGGCCCCUGCUCCCAAGGACGUGAACCUCUAAAGCAGCACUGCCGGAAAGAAAGACAAUGUGAGCCCCACCCGCAAAGUUUAAUUCUCUAGUUGCCACAUUAAAAACAAAAAGAAACAAGUGAAAUGAAUUUUAAUAAUACAUUUCAUUUGGCCCAACAGAUCCAAAAUAGCAUUUCAAUGUGUAAUCAAUGUUAACAUUUUUCCUGAGAUCUUUUUCACUCUCCUGCUGAUACAGUCUUAGAAAUCGAGUGUGUAUUUUUUUUACUCACCACCCCAGGUCAAUUCAGAAGAGCCACAUUUCAGGGCUCAAAGGCACUGAGCAAUGGCGAGUGGCCAGGAGCUCAGCUUUAGGAGCCCCUACCCACCUCCGGGCGAGCAAGUAUAUACAUCACCCAGCACAUGGAGACUCAUCCACAAUCGCUAUGACCACAUCUCCAACUACCACCAGCAGCAGCACCGGUUACAAACACCUACUGCACACCAACACGGCUCUGGGCGGUCUGCACAGGUUAUUCUGACCUGCGCACCAGGGCUAGGGACACUGGAUGGCCUUCCUAUUGACCAAAAAAGGGAGUGAGGCUCAGAAUGAUUAGGAGAUGUGCUCUAGGUCACGGAGCUAACAAGGUGCAAUCAAGUAGUUAAGUCACAUCUGACUCCAAGCAACAGCAGCGAUUAUUUAUUGAGCACCUACUGUGUGCCAAUACCCUGUGUUGAAAGAUGAGCACAAACACGCCAGGCAAGGUCCCUGCCCUGCUGGUGCUUUUGCCCUGGCUUAUGGGGAUGGAGGAAUGAUGAUAAACAAGGAAAAACCCCUUCAGAUGGUGAUGAUUUCAGAAGAAAAAAGAAUGCAGUAGAAAAGAAUAACAGCAGAAGGGAGACAGGUAUCUACCUACAGUGGACAGGGAAGACCUCUGGGGGGAGCGGAAAUUCAAGCCGAGAUGUGAAGCAUGAGAAGACCAUGGUUCGGGUGAGGACAGGGAAGAGUGUGCCAGACAUCAAGCAGCAAACACAAACCUUGGUGCAGGAAGAGUCCAGCAUGUUCCAGGAGCCAACAGAAAGGCAGCCGGGCUCCCAUGCCAGCUGCCUCUCUGGAGCAUCCAGGUUGGCCCCCAUGCCAUUCCUCCUGCCUCAGGGCACUCCCAUGCCCCGGCUUGGAAAACGAGAAGCCAAGAAAUCAUUCUCCAGAUGUCAAGAACAAGUCCAGGCUGGAGGCUCCCAGCACAGUGCCUGGCAUGAAGUGCAAUCCAGGAGCAUGGGCUGAGUGGCUGAAUGAUGGACUGGCAGUGAGAAGACAGAGUGGAAGUGCCAGAACAGAACCUAGGCAGGACAGAUCCCAGGAACAACAUUUUAACUCCGUAAGCCUUGCUUCAAACCCUAGGUACACUAGCCAAAAAGUGGAAGCCACCCAAACAUCCAACAACAGAUGAAUGGAUAAUAUAAAGCGAUCUAGCCACACAACGGAAUAUUACUCACCCAUAAAAAAGGACCAAGGCACUGACACCCAUUACAACCUGGAUGAACCUUCAGGGCAUUAUGCUGUCGCAAAAGGCCACAUGUAAUAGGGUUCUAUCAACACGAAAUGUCCAGAAUGGGCAAAUCCUUAGAGAUGCAAUGCAGACCAGUGGUUGUCAGGGGCCGAGGGAGGGGAGGAUGGGGAAUAAGUGCUUAAUGGAUACAGGCCUUUCAUUGCAAGAGAUGAAAAUGUUUUGGAACUAGAGACAGACAGCAGUUGCAUAACUUUGCAAAUGUACUAAAUGCCACUGAAUGGUACACUUUAAAAUGGUUUGUCUUAUGUCAUGUGAAUUGCACCUCAAUUUUUAAAAAGCAAGGGUAGAGGGGCAGAGAGGGGGGGAACUAUUUCACCAGAGAAUCUAGGUUGUGACCCCGUUGAAUAAAAC